UGUUCGGAGGUAAACGGAUGGAAGAGGUCGUGGGUUUAGGGGCACUCUGAGCCCGAUGGGGAGGCUUCGAUGUAUUGAAGACGUGCUGUCUCUCGGGGCAGUCGCUUUGCAUGUUGUUGUCUUCUCUUUCAGGCCGUGAUUCUCUCCUCCCGCCGCCACAGCUAGUUACUCGAUGGCCGAAGGACUCUGAGGAAGUUAGUUGUUUUUUGGUCCUCGUGGUCAAUGGCAGCUAGCCUUGGAACUCCUGGUAUAUCAGGUGACUGCAGAUGAAAUACUGGAAGCCAAGACACGCCUCUGGGCGUGGGAUCCAUGCUCCGGCGUGGGGAUUCUCCCACUGAUGUCUUUGGUUGUGGCGUUUGUGCCUUGUUCCAUUCGAUCCGUCUUGAAACACGGACCAAGGAGUUUAACAUGUGCGCGAGUCAUUGGGUGUCGAGAAACCUAAAGGCGAAAUGAAGGGGAAGACUUUCUUUAAGAAGUUGACGGAGGAU
rnacentral:rRNA from 1 species